rnacentral:rRNA from 1 species
AGAGUUUGAUCAUGGCUCAGAACGAACGCUGGCGGCGUGCCUAACACAUGCAAGUCGAACGAGAAAGGGGCUUCGGCUCCGAGUAAAGUGGCGCACGGGUGAGUAACACGUAGGUAACCUGCCUCCGAGAUUGGGAUAACCUGUCGAAAGACGAGCUAAUACCAAAUAAGACCACGGCUUCCUCGGAAGCAGGGGUCAAAGGUAGCCUCUACUUGUAAGCUAUCACUUAGAGAUGGGCCUGCGUACCAUUAGCUAGUUGGUGGGGUAACGGCCCACCAAGGCAAAGAUGGUUAGCUGGUCUGAGAGGAUGAUCAGCCACACUGGAACUGAGACACGGUCCAGACUCCUACGGGAGGCAGCAGUGGGGAAUAUUGCGCAAUGGGCGAAAGCCUGACGCAGCAACGCCGCGUGAGUGAUGAAGGCCUUCGGGUCGUAAAGCUCUGUCGGAGGGAACGAAUGCUCUUGAGGUUAACAGCCUCGGGAAGUGACGGUACCCUCAAAGGAAGCACCGGCUAACUCUGUGCCAGCAGCCGCGGUA